ACGUCCUGCUUAUGAUGUCAACACUACAUGUAUAUAAUGCGAUGUUGUCCCUUUUUUUAUUUACAUCUAUAUAAUAUUAAUGUUAUUGAAAGGCAAGCGUACUGUACAUAUAAGUAUGGCGAAGGACAUAGAUAUGAUCAUGAGUGAAGGGAUGUUUUAGUGAAAAUAGCCAUCAUAAGUGUAGAUGAAUUGAUUGAGGAGUAUUUGGACUACCCGGAAGAACGGAGGGUUACUUCACUAGAUACCUGGGGGCACCUGUUUGGAUGUGUAACAGCGACAGCAAAUGUGUAAUUGUGUAAUAUCAACAGCAACGAGACGGAUCUACCUGGUUUAUAUGUGUCUGACAUAGAAAAUGCUUCACGGGAAUGGAUUUAAUCAAUAUAACGAAAGGGGCCUGGAUAAGGAGGCGGAAAAGGAAUGCCUUGACCGGACGUGACUGCGUGUUUUUCUCAGUGCUGGGGGCAUAUGUCACCUUUGUGUUCAUCUAUUUGGUCCAGAGCGAUCGUCUUUCACAAAUAAAUGUAGAUACAGACAAUAAACUCCCCGUGAGUCGGGACGUCAAACGAACUGUCCAGAGGCAUUCCGAGUUGACUGAUCUGUCCAUCCUUGCCAGGAUUCUCCAAAGACCAUCCACUGUACGGGACGAACGACGGACCCGAUUUCGUGGUUUACAACUUUCACUCCCAUUGUUUAGAACAACGACCAAAGCAAAUGAAAGAUUUUAACUUAAAGGAAUAUAUAUUACCUUUAUGUUGUUCCUCCAUGUGUCGUGGAUCUUUUGGAUACAUUGCUAUUGCGUAUACAUGUACCAUUAAAACAUUAAAUAUUUAACGUUU
rnacentral:sRNA from 1 species